rnacentral:rRNA from 1 species
AUUGAACGCUGGCGGCAGGUCUAACACAUGCAAGUCGAGCGAGCGGCGGACGGGUGAGUAAUGUCUGGGAAACUGCCUGACGGAGGGGGAUAACGACUGGAAACGGUAGCUAAUACCGCAUACCAUCAGAUAUGCCCAGAUGGGAUUAGCUAGUAGGUGGGGUAACGGCUCACCUAGGCGACGAUCCCUAGCUGUUCUGGGAGGAUUACAAGCCAACCUGGAUCUGUGACACGUUCCCGACUCCUACGGGAGGCAGCAGUGGGGAAUAGUGCACAAUGGGCGCAAGCCUGAUGCAGCCAUGCCGCGUGUGUGAAGAAGGCCUUCGGGUUGUAAAGCACUUUCAGCUGGGAGGCGUUACCCUCAGAUGAAGCACCGGCUAACUCCGUGCCAGCAGCCGCGGUAAUAC